GGUCAAGCGAUUAAGCGCACACGGUGGAUGCCUAGGCAGUCAGAGGCGAUGAAAGACGUGAUAGCCUGCGAUAAGCGUCGGUGAGGUGGCAAAUAACCUGUGACCCGGCGAUCUCUGAAUGGGGAAACCCACUUACCAUCAGGUAAGUAUCCAUGAGUGAAUACAUAGCUCAUGGAGGCGAACCGGGGGAACUGAAACAUCUAAGUACCCCGAGGAAAAGAAAUCAACCGAGAUUCCCCAAGUAGCGGCGAGCGAACGGGGACCAGCCCUUAAGCCAUGGGGCCAAUAAGCGAACAGGGUGGGAAACCUGACGAUACAGGGUGAUAGUCCCGUAGCUGAAAUUCAACCAUGGUGAAAUCGAGUAGGUCGGGGCACGAGAAACCCUGACUGAACAUGGGGGGACCAUCCUCCAAGGCUAAAUACUCCUGACUGACCGAUAGUGAACCAGUACCGUGAGGGAAAGGCGAAAAGAACCCCGGAGAGGGGAGUGAAAUAGAUCCUGAAACCGUGUGCGUACAAGCAGUGGGAGCAGACUUGUUCUGUGACUGCGUACCUUUUGUAUAAUGGGUCAGCGACUUAUUUUCAGUAGCGAGCUUAACCGUAUAGGGGAGGCGUAGGGAAACCGAGUCUUAAAUGGGCGAUCAGUUGCUGGAAAUAGACCCGAAACCGGGCGAUCUAUCCAUGGGCAGGUUGAAGGUUGAGUAACAUCAACUGGAGGACCGAACUCAAGUAUGUUGAAAAAUGCUGAGAUGACCUGUGGAUCGGAGUGAAAGGCUAAUCAAGCCCGGAGAUAGCUGGUUCUCCUCGAAAACUAUUUAGGUAGUGCCUCACGUAUCACCGCCGGGGGUAGAGCACUGUUUCGGCUAGGGGCCCAUCCCGGGUUACCAACCCGAGGCAAACUCCGAAUACCGGUGAGUGCAGCGUGGGAGACACACGGCGGGUGCUAACGUCCGUCGUGAAAAGGGAAACAACCCAGACCGCCAGCUAAGGCCCCCAAUUCCUGGUUAAGUGGGAAACGAUGUGGGAAGGCUCAGACAGCUAGGAGGUUGGCUUAGAAGCAGCCAUCCUUUAAAGAAAGCGUAAUAGCUCACUAGUCGAGUCGGCCUGCGCGGAAGAUGUAACGGGGCUCAAACCAGGAGCCGAAGCUGCGGGNNNNNNNNNNNNNNNNNNNNNNNNNNNNNNNNNNNNNNNNNNNNNNNNNNNNNNNNNNNNNNNNNNNNNNNNNNNNNNNNNNNNNNNNNNNNNNNNNNNNGCAUCACUUGAGUGAUGCGCGGUAGAGGAGCGUUGUGUACGUCUGUGAAGGUGUAUCGAGAGGUAUGCUGGAGAUAUCACAAGUGCGAAUGCUGACAUGAGUAACGAUAAGGGGAGUGAAAACCUCCCCCGCCGGAAGACCAAGGGUUCCUGUUCGACGUCAAUCGGAGCAGGGUGAGUCGGUUCCUAAGGCGAGGCCGAAAGGCGUAGUCGAUGGAAAACGGGUUAAUAUUCCCGUACCAGAUUAUAUUGCGAUGGGGGGACGGAGAAGGCUAGGUAAGCCAGGCGUUGGUUGUCCUGGUGAAAGCAUGUAGGCCGAGUGAUCAGGCAAAUCCGAUCACUUAAAGCCGAGAUGCGAGACGAACGGUCUACUUGUAGACCGGAAGUUAUCGAUGCCACGCUUCCAGGAAAAGCCUCUAAGCUUCAGAUAUAAUGUGACCGUACCCCAAACCGACACAGGUGGUCAGGUAGAGAAUACCAAGGCGCUUGAGAGAACUCGGGUGAAGGAACUAGGCAAAAUGGCACCGUAACUUCGGGAGAAGGUGCGCCGGCUUAGGGUGAAGGGACUUGCUCCUGGAGCUCGAACCGGUCGAAGAUACCAGGUGGCUGCAACUGUUUAUUAAAAACACAGCACUCUGCUAACGCGCAAGCGGACGUAUAGGGUGUGACGCCUGCCCGGUGCCGGAAGGUUAAUUGAUGGUGUUAGCGCAAGCGAAGCUCUUGAUCGAAGCCCCGGUAAACGGCGGCCGUAACUAUAACGGUCCUAAGGUAGCGAAAUUCCUUGUCGGGUAAGUUCCGACCUGCACGAAUGGCGUAAUGAUGGCCACACUGUCUCCACCCGAGACUCAGUGAAAUUGAAAUCGCUGUGAAGAUGCAGUGUUCCCGCGGCUAGACGGAAAGACCCCGUGAACCUUUACUAUAGCUUCACACUGGAUGCUGAUGUUGUUUGUGUAGGAUAGCUGGGAGGCUUUGAACCCUGGACGCCAGUUCAGGGGGAGCCAACCUUGAAAUACCAGCCUGACAUCAUUGGCGUUCUAACCUCGCACCGUUAUCCGGUGCAGGGACAGUGUGUGGUGGGUAGUUUGACUGGGGCGGUCUCCUCCUAAAGAGUAACGGAGGAGCACGAAGGUACCCUCAGCACGGUUGGAAAUCGUGCAAUGAGUGCAAGAGCAUAAGGGUGCUUGACUGCGAGACGGACAUGUCGAGCAGGUGCGAAAGCAGGUUCUAGUGAUCCGGUGGUUCUGUAUGGAAGGGCCAUCGCUCAACGGAUAAAAGGUACUCCGGGGAUAACAGGCUGAUACCGCCCAAGAGUUCACAUCGACGGCGGUGUUUGGCACCUCGAUGUCGGCUCAUCACAUCCUGGGGCUGAAGUCGGUCCCAAGGGUAUGGCUGUUCGCCAUUUAAAGUGGUACGCGAGCUGGGUUUAGAACGUCGUGAGACAGUUCGGUCCCUAUCUGCCGUGGGCGUCGGAAGUUUGAGAAGAGCUGCUCCUAGUACGAGAGGACCGGAGUGGACGAACCUCUGGUGUUCCGGUUGUCACGCCAGUGGCAUUGCCGGGUAGCUAUGUUCGGACGGGAUAACCGCUGAAAGCAUCUAAGCGGGAAGCCCCCUUCAAGAUGAGACUUCCCUGGGGCCUCGAGCCCCCUGAAGGACCCUCGAAGACUACGAGGUGAUAGGCGCGGUGUGUAAGUGUCGUCAAGAUAUUGAGCUAACGCGUACUAAUUGUCCGUGAGGCUUGACCAU
rnacentral:rRNA from 1 species